AUAAGCGGAGGAAAAGAAACUAACAAGGAUUCCCCUAGUAACGGCGAGUGAAGCGGGAAGAGCACAAAUUUUAAAUCUACCUGGUUUUCAGGUCGAGUUGUAAUUUGAAGAAACGUUUUUUACGUUCCGGGUUGGAUUAAAUCCUUUGGGAUAAGGUAUCAUGGAGGGUGAGAAUCCCGUGUAUACCAACCACUGGAAUGUUAUUAAUACGUUUUCUAAGAGUCGAGUUGUUUGGGAAUGCAGCUCUAAAUGGGUGGUAAAUUUCACCUAAUGCUAAAUAUAAGCGAGAGACCGAUAGUGAACAAGUACCGUGAGGGAAAGAUGAAAAGAACUUUGAAAAGAGAGUUAAAUAGUACGUGAAAUUGUUGAAAGGGAAACGGUUGAAGUCAGUCAUGCCGGCGGGAAUCAACUUAGGGGAAACUCUAAGUGCACAUCUUCGCUUGGCAGGUUAGCGUCGAUUUUGGAUGUCAUAAAAUGACUGGGGGAAGGUAGCUCCUUCGGGAGUGUUAAGCCCUUGGUAGAUGUGAUGUUCGGGAUCGAGGAUUGCAACGGAUACCCAUUGGGUUAGCCACCUGGUCUCUAAUACGAAGUUGGGUUAUAGAUAGCAUGCUAACUAUGAUCUGAUUUUCGGUUAAAAGAUUAGAGUGAGUGUAAAUUCGUUAAGGACGCUGACGUAAUGG
rnacentral:rRNA from 1 species